rnacentral:misc_RNA from 1 species
AAGAGGAGAAUGAUAAGGCAAAGGACGGUAAAGAGGAAGAGAAAGAUAAAGAAAAGAAAGAGAAUGGUGAUAAGAAAAGAAAAAAGGGUGAUAAGUGUAAAAGCAAGGACCUUGACAGUCUGAAAAAGAAGUUACAGAAGAUUGAUGGAAAAAUUGAAGCUCUCCUUGAGAAAAAAGCUGACAUUUUGAGGCAGAUAAAAGAAGCUGAGAAUGUGAGUUCUGUUUCCUGAUAAGGACAAAGACGCGCAGAUAGCUGAUGCCAAAUAGCCCCUUGUGCAUAAUGCUAUACAGUUCAUUUCUCUUCACCCAUUGUAAUAUAGUGUUUUUAUGGAUAUGCAGUUUUAUGGGAGAACGAUUACUUUUGCUGUUGUAAUAAUAAGUUUUUUCAGAUGUAUGGUGUGUGAAUAAAAUCGUGAUGGAUAAAGCUACUGUAAUAUUGGCUUUUUAUUUCCAGUCCUAUAUAUGUACUGCCAGUCAUUUCAGAGAGUACAUUUACUUAAAAAAAAAAAGCCAAUAUUACAGUAGCUUUAU